AGAAACAGCCUUAGCACAAGUCGUUGGUUAACAUUACACUACAUUCAUUCAUCCUGUUUCGCUUGGACUAGUUGACCAACCAUAUAGACUUCACUAUACGAUCUAUCUCCUUCUGCAGAAGAAUGGAAGCAAAACCAAACAACACUAGCUAGCUGCAGUUUCUUUAUCCCUCUUCCUUUAUUUUUCAGCUGCUAGCAUGAGGUGACUUUGUUCAGGAUAUGUAGGUGUGCAGAUUUUUUUGUGAAGACUCAAGAAUCAAGAUAGUAAAGAUUUAUUAGGAUAAGUGUGUAUAAGUAGAUGCAUUUUUUUUGUCAAUAGUACAAGUGGAUGUAUUUUUUUGGUCAAAAGUGGAUGUUUGAUUUCACACAAACUUACUCACCAUUAGAUCUGGCCCGGACCAAAGCCCAACUCAAGUUUACUGAUUACCAUGUUGGGCUUUGGCCACAGUUGCAUAUUAUCAAUGAUUCUAUCUGCCUAUCAAAAAAAAAAUCAAUGAUUCUAUCAAAUUACAUUA